ACGUCUGCCCGGUAUUUCGCUGAUGAACUAACGCUUAGACGCCUUGCCAAUGUAUUUUACAGCGGCAAAAAUGCAUAGGCGACGUUGGAAAGACUGGUGUGCCGUCUGGGUAUGUUGGUUUUCAGUGCUGGGCAGUAGCGAAGCGACUAGUUUAAUUACAUUCUCUAGUAGCUUGGUCGUAGCGUCACUACUAUGUAUCGAGUAGCUAACAUCCCUGUAGUAAUGCUAUUUUUCCUCAAGUAGCGACGUUGUCUACAAAAGCUACAAUUUGUCCCCCAUCGAUUUUACUCAAUGAUUUUUGUUUUACUUUCUCUAUCCUGAAACCUAGGCAGUCACACAGGGGUUCCAAGACCCACCGGCGUAAAAUCAAGUCAAAGGCUGCUGUCUCAUAAUAUGGCGAAGACGAGUCACCUGAAGGCCUAACUCGCCAUAGAAGACUGAAAGAAUUGUCCUGCAGGAUGCUGUGUCCUGCAAUCCUGUGUGCUGUGCUACAGACGCAUGUGGAGGUCAACCCAAAAUGGGCACAGUCUCACCGCAGAAGAGUGAAAGAGGAUCCUGGCAGGGAGACGGUAGUGUCCUGCAGAAUGGUGAUGGGCCAAUCUUACAAGAGACCACAGAAAACUGAUAUAGUGAACUAUAGAAACAACAGUGCCUGCUGCAGUAUAAUGAGGACACCCUGAGCAGAGAGCUCCAAUAGACCCAGGUCCAGUGUCUUGGCAGGGUGAAAUGGCACUGAUAUGGUGUCCUGCAGGAUGCUGUGUCCUGCAAUCCUGUGUGCUGUGCUACAAACGCGUGUGGAGGUCAACCCAAAAU